AUUGAACGCUGGCGGCAGGCCUAACACAUGCAAGUCGAACGGUAACAGGAAGAAGCUUGCUUCUUUGCUGACGAGUGGCGGACGGGUGAGUAAUGUCUGGGAAACUGCCUGAUGGAGGGGGAUAACUACUGGAAACGGUAGCUAAUACCGCAUAACGUCGCAAGACCAAAAAGGGGGACCUUCGGGCCUCUUGCCAUCGGAUGUGCCCAGAUGGGAUUAGCAGUAGGUGGGGUAACGGCUCACCUAGGCGACGAUCCCUAGCUGGUCUGAGAGGAUGACCAGCCACACUGGAACUGAGACACGGUCCAGACUCCUACGGGAGGCAGCAGUGGGGAAUAUUGCACAAUGGGCGCAAGCCUGAUGCAGCCAUGCCGCGUGUAUGAAGAAGGCCUUCGGGUUGUAAAGUACUUUCAGCGGGGAGGAAGGGAGUAAAGUUAAUACCUUUGCUCAUUGACGUUACCCGCAGAAGAAGCACCGGCUAACUCCGUG
rnacentral:rRNA from 1 species